CGGCAAAGACUACAAUAUUGCAUUACGGCGUGCUCGAUAUUUUGCUUAAGUUGAAAUGGUGUAAUUUUAUUCAUUUAAAAAUGAAGUGUUGAAUUAAUUUUGUAGACAUUUUUUUGUAUUUGCACUAUUCAAACAUAUUUUCAUCACUCUAAGAGUGGUACGUCACACAAUUUUUGAAAGUAAUUAUUUUAAUAUUUGUCGAUAAAGUUAUGAGUUAAGACCGAAAUAACUGCACUUCACUAUUUUCAAGAAUUUUGACAUGUACGUCACCGUCAGGUGUCAAGAGGAAGGAUUGUCAAAUGUCGUAAAAUUGACUCACACGUGGAUUUUGAAAAUUGGAAUUGAAAACGGAUGAAAAAAUACUAGAAAACAUAAAUUCUGUACAAUAUUAACAUUGUGAUUCCUGGGCGUCCUGGCUGCAACCCUUCUGAAAUCGAGUAAUGGUUUAUUCAGUUACAAGAAACAUCUGGAAAUGAUUAUUCAGAACGAACUUGUGCCCGCAGAGGCUUCAGAGGUAAAACUAACUAUGGAAUCCAAGAAGUACCUAGUCGUGAAGAACCAUGUACGAGAAAUUGCUGAGGCAGAGACCAGUAACUGUGAAAAUAGUCAAAAACAGAGUAAGAUGAUUGAGGAGUCUUCACAUAAAGGAAAGAAGCCAGAAAAACAGCUUUCGUCCUCUAGUGAUGAAUGUAUACUCAAAAAAGGUACAAAUGAAAUGUCCGUAAGCGAUUUAGAAGAGCUGAAACGUGUUUACAAAAAAUGUAAGUCAGUUUUGUUGAAAAUUGAAUCUAAAUAUGGACAUUUACUAAACUCGGACGACGAAGAGUGUAUUACUCAAAAAAGAAAACAUGUUAGUGAUACUGAAAAAGAAUGUAAGUGUGCCUUAAAUAGUAAAAUAGUUUUUAGUGAUGACGGAGAAGUAGUUCAAGCUAUAGGAAGCUCAUACAAUUAUCAUAUUUGCCCGGAUAGAUUACCCCCCUUCAAAAGGUACCAGCUUUCUCAAGAUAUUUGCCCAGAUAGGUUACCCACCUAUAAAAGGUACCAGCCUGCUCAAGAUAUCCAGAUUGAGUCUGAAAGUUUUGCUGUACCUCUUCCUGAUACUAUACAGGAGUUAGAAAAGAUGUUAAAAGAACCAUUGACAGCUAUUUUGAGGCAAAGAGUGAUAGAUAAAAUUAGGUUCACAAGGCAGGUGAAUUUAAAUAUGAUAAGGUUUGAUAAAAAAAACUUAGUAGAGAAAUUGAAGGCAAAUCCAGAUGAAAUAAUAGAUUUUAAAGGCACUAAUUUCUCAUCUAUUGUUGGAUAUCCUGCGUGACAAAUUAGAUUUACAAGACAGGUUAAUCUAAAUAUGAUAAGGUAUGAUAAGAAAUUGAGUUGAGAAAUUGAAAGUGACUGGUGAAAUAAUAAACUUUAAAGGUUUUAAAGGAGGAACUUCUUGUCUUAUUCAUAUCCUCUGUGAACUGAUUAUAAUAUUAUGUAAGACUAUGUGAAAUCAUAGAUGGAGCGAGGCAACCUCUUGUAGGGACUUCCACUGGCAGCGCAAGACAGUGGUGUGAAUCCAGCAACUGCCUGCAACUUGUUCCUAGUGGAGGGUCCUCCAACACUGCACUUUCCAGUGCCAUGUCGUCAUAGGACCCCAAUGUCUUUUGGUUUUAUCAAACUAUGUGCCCUGCCAGCCAUUAUGACUUCAGCUUUGCAACCUGCCGAGCUAUGUUGGUUUCUCUGAUUCUCCUACAGAUAUCCUUAGUUUUUAUUUGAUCACAUAGAGAAACUUCAAGCAUAGCCCUCUCCAGUGCCAGCGUAGUUCUUUUAAAAUAAUAAGUGUUAUUAUUAUAUUUGAAUGAUUAAAACUUUUUUGAAAUAAAUACCUUUGAUUUUAUAUAGAACUCAAAAGAUCUACAGUUAAUUUUUCUUUGUUAAUUCAUUUUUGAAAUAAAUUGUUUAUUUUUA